rfam:Trichosporon asahii var. asahii CBS 8904 unplaced genomic scaffold scaffold00033, whole genome shotgun sequence.
GUCCGCUUAACUCAGUGGUACGAGUGUCGGCUUCCGGAAACGGGGCACGCCGGAGGUCAAGGGUUCGAUCCCCUUAGCGGAUU